ACUAUCUCUGGAAGAUGGCCACCGAGAGAGAGAAGCUGUGCUGAAAGAACCACGAAGACGGAUGCAGGUAAUUGUCAGCCUACUAUGCAAAGUCUUCAGAGUCCCAGCAAACCCAGAUCUUCUCUGCGUGACUACUCAAGUUCUGUCAUCCAAGAGGAAAAUGUGCUUGAGAAAUGUACACUUCAAACUGAGCCAUCAAAGAAAGGGAAAGGGAGACUGGUACCCAGAGAGACAACUACCCUGCAUGUCCAGGAGGAGGAUCUAAAAUCACACCCCAACCCAACUGCACCAGAUGGCAAUAUCACCAAGCCCAAAACUGAGAAGGGGGCUAGUCAAAGUUGAAAAAGCCAAACAUAUAGAGGGGAAGGGAAGAGGAGUAUUUGCUGUCAGAUAUUUCAAGAAGGGGAAGUUUGUAAUUGAGUAUCAUGGAGACUUGUUGCAUCUGGCUGAUGCCAAGGAGAGCGAGGCUCUGUAUGCCCAAGACCCUGGGACUGGCUGCUACAUGUACUAUUUCCAGUAUCUCAGCAAAACAUACUGAAUCAACUCGCCUGGGAAGGCUGCUAAACCACAGUAAAACUGCCAACUGCCAGACCAAACUCCAUGACAUAGAUGGAAUAACACAUCUCAUACUGGUGGCUUCCAGGGACAUUGAGUCAGAGGAAGAGCUGCUUUAGGACUGGUGACCACAGCAAGGAAUCUAUCUCGGCUCACACUUUGCUCAAAAACUGAUGUGCUGUUUUUACACCAAGAGUAUUCAAGAUAAUUACUAGGUGCAUUUGCUUAAAGUUUUUUUCCUUUUUUUUCUUGGCCCUGAAUAUUCCCUUGGCACUAAACUGCCAACUUGGCAUUCCAGGUGAGACAAAUUAAGUGGGUGUUUUGUGUAUUUUUAAUCUGCCCUUUCAAGCAAUGUAUUUGGGCAAAACUGAGGCAGUAUGAACAAUAUUGAAGACAACCUUCAAGAUGACACAUGGAUCAAUUUGUUAAAACUGUAUAUCAAUUUAUUGCUGGAUUUGGGGGUAGUUUUUAUACAUAUUUAGGCCUGUGCUUCCAAGAAGAUAUUAAUAAAAUUUGUAACAUUA